rnacentral:rRNA from 1 species
UACGUAGGGGGCUAGCGUUGUCCGGAAUCAUUGGGCGUAAAGCGCGCGUAGGCGGCCAGAUAAGUCCGGUGUGAAAGUCACAGGCUCAACCUGUGAAUGCCGCUGGAGACUGUCUGGCUAGAGUCCGGAAGGGGCGAGUGGAAUCCCUGGUGUAGCGGUGAAAUGCGCAGAUAUCAGGAGGAACACCAAUGGCGAAGGCAGCUCGCUGGAACGGUACUGACGCUGAGGCGCGAAAGCGUGGGGAGCGAACAGG